GUAAAGGAAAUACGUGAACAUUUGUUGAUUAUUAAUAUGGUUUGGCUGUGUCCCCACCAAAUCUCAACUUAAAUUGUAUCUCCCAGAAUUCCCACAUGUCACAGGAGGGACCCAGGUGGAGGUAAUUGAAUCGUGGUCGGGCGGGGGGGAAGGGGGUGGUCUUGCCGUGCUGUUCUCGUGAUAGUGAGUACCUCUCACGAGAUCUGAUGAGUUUAUCAGGAGUUUCCGCUUUUGCUUCUUCCUCAUCGUCUCUUGCCGCUGCCAUGAAAGGAGUGCUUUUUGCCUCCCACCAUGAUUCUGAGGCCUCCCCAGCCAUGUAGAAUUAGCCAGCCUGUUUUUGAUGAAGAGCAACUGUACUGGAGAGAAAGCCUGUAUUCAUAUUCAUCGUCAUCAGGCAAAUCGAGGAGCUGACUUGCUUAGGAUCACUUUACAGAAUUCUUUCUCAAGAGGAUUUAGACUCCUUUUCUAUUGAUAGGGCAUAAGAAUUGACUCAGACCUAGAAACUGGCUGGGACCAUCUCAUAAUGUUUGUGUACAUUCCUGUUGUCUUCUACCUCCCAUCCACCGUGUCUCUCUACUGCCUAUAACCAGCCUACAUAAGAUAAAUGUGAUUGGAGAGGAAACUAUCCCCAAUUCUCUCUUCAUUGACAUUUGGGGCUGUACCAGUUUACAUUUUCACCAACAUUCCCACCAUUGUGGUGGCCAGCAACUGAGGAGGCUGAGAUAAGUGGAUUCCCUGAGCCCAGGAGGUGGAGGUUGCAGUUAGCCAAGAUUGCGUCACUGCACUCCAGCCUAGGCAACAGAGUGAGACCUGUCUCAAAAAAAAAAAAAAAAAAGAGUUAAAUUAAAAAAUAAAUAAAAGUCAUUUGACCAUAUAUGUGAUUGUUUAUUUCUUGCUCUCCAUCUAUUCUAUUUACCUAUAUAUCUAUCUUUAUUCCAGUACAAUGCUGUUUUUAUUAUUGUAACUUUGAAAAAAAAUUUUAAAAUCUAGAAGUGUGAUCUUUAACUUUUGUUCUUUUUCAAAAUUGUUU
rnacentral:lncRNA from 10 species